AAAAAGGAAAUGCCUGAACUUUUUAUGAGGUUUUUAUCUUUUCUCAAGGACACAUCAUUCUGAUUCCCUUAACAUUUUCUAAUUGCUCAUUUUAAUAGCCCUGAUCAUUUUUGUUAUGAUCUUUUGGACCCUCUCCAAGUAAUCCACAUGUCUGUGCCAACUGGAGAAUCAAUGUGACAAACUCCUUGUGCAUCUGGGUCUGGCAAGAACCCUGGAAAGGAUGGGAGAUACACGUAAUGAUCUGGGGUAAAAAAAUUUAUAUAUUGAGGUAUAGGAUUUGCCCUGAAAUAAAUGAAAAAUUUCCAUGAUCAUCCGGAAAAAAAACUGAGGUGAACUUCCAUUUUCUGGGACCAAAAGAGAAUCUGGGGGGGGCCUGCACUUUGUUGCGGGGGGAUAACCUCCUGAUGGGAGGAGGGCGAUAACUCUGCCAUUUAAAGGUCUGUCGGUGGUAAUGGUAGUGAAUUUUGCUUAGACUAUGGGAGUCCUAAGACGAGACAGCUUAAAGUGAUAUAAGCUAUUUGGUGUGUCUCUUUUCUCAAGCUUUCAGCAAGUCUUGUUUACUUUCUCCCUGUUGUCUGAGUUAUAUUACGGCAGGCUGAAAGAUCAGUGUUCCUUCUCCAUGGCCAGAGUGGCUUCAUCAGAUACGGAGGAGACUGGUGCCCAGCAGAGCAUGCAUCCCAUGAAGGGAGAUAUUAUUUUCUACAUGUUAGAGCUGAGGACACUGGAGUUUAGAAAAAGACUUGCCAAG